UACAGAGACUGCAAGCGUUAUUCGGAUUCACUGGGCGUAAAGGGUGCGCAGGCGGUUGGGUGUGUCAGAUGUGAAAUCCCGAGGCUUAACCUCGGAACUGCGUCUGAAACUACUCGACUAGAGUACUGGAGAGGGAAACGGAAUUCACGGUGUAGCAGUGAAAUGCGUAGAUAUCGUGAGGAACACCAGGGGCGAAGGCGGUUUCCUGGACAGUUACUGACGCUCAGGCACGAAAGCAUGGGGAGCAAAAGGG
rnacentral:rRNA from 1 species